GGAGGGAGAAAACGAAAAGGGGAAAAAGGGAAGGGAGAAAAAAAUGAAAGGAAAUAGUGAAUGGAAAAAUCGGUGAAAGUUGCGGAAUUGGUCGGGCACGUGUGACGGAUUUGACGGGCACGCGGCGAAAUUUGCGGGGAAUAGAAAAAGAUGACUGUCGACGGUUGGUGCCGGGACGGCGGGGUCGCCGGGAAAGAAAAGAUUUUUAGGGAGCUCAACGGUCGGAAAAUUUUGAAACAAAUGUUUAGAGAGUGAUUUGAGUUAGUAAAUUUUACGGACGUUACAAACCAACCCCACUUAAAUUGAAUCUCGUCCUCGAGAUUCGGCUGGAUCGUGAAAAUAUGGGGAAAUUCCUUCUUUAAUGCAUCCUCGCGUUCCC
rnacentral:lncRNA from 1 species